CUCUUUUUCGCCUUGACUGUUUGUGUUCUCGUUUUUAUUUUGAGCUAAGAGACUUUCCGUCUGACCUCACAGAGGCGAUUAAGAAAAAAGGAGAAAUAAGCAUCUACCAUGAAAUACGUCGCUGCUUAUCUACUUGCAUCUCUUUCCGGUAAAGAGCCAAGCGCUGAAGUUAUAAAAGCUAUUUUUGGCUCUGUGGGAAUCGAUUAUGAUGAAAGUUUAUUAUCUCAUGUUUUUUCUCAAUUGAAGGGUAAAGCAAUAAAUGACGUUAUAGCUGAAGGUUCGUUAAGGCUUGCUUCAUUUUCCGUAGGCGCUUCUAGUACAGGUGCUGAGAAAGCAGCUAGUUCGCCUGCUUCAGCGGAGGCCGCUGUAGAAGAAAAAGAAGAAGAAACUAAGAAAUCUGAAGAUGAAUUUGAAGGUGGCCUUUCACUAUUCGGCGAUGACGAUGAUGAUUUGUUUUAACUUGAUUUAAUUGUAUAGAAUAAUAAAACAUCCUCUAUCCGUGUUAA